rnacentral:lncRNA from 1 species
UCAGCCUCACGUGACUCUUGGGCAGAGGCAGUGGUGGGGCAGCCAGGGCAGCGUCAGAGUCUGAGCCAGGUCCUGAACUUCCUCUAGUCGGCAUCUCCAGGCCCAGCUUUUCCUUCCAGCAGCCCCUGCAGGCACAAGUCAUCCUCAAGUCGCCCACCCCGGGCCCAGCUCUUGCCUCUUGGCGGCCGCUCCAGGUGCACAACUUCAUCAAGUCGGCCUCUCCAAGCUCAGCUUCUCCUGCCUCCCAAUGGCCUCUUUAGGCCUAGCCCAGCUCAUGCCUCUCGGCAGCCUUCCCAGGCCCAGCUUUUGACUUUUGUCUGCCUCUUCACGCCCAGAACUGGACUUCCUGUCGGCCUCUCCUGGCCCAGCCUCUUGCAUCCUGAAGGCCCGUACAGACCCUGCCUCUGCCUCACAGCUGACUCUCCACACUGAGCUCUUGCCUCACUGUGACCUUCCCAGUCCAAAUUCUUGCAUUUCAGCAAGUUCGACAGGACCAGCUCCUGCCUUCAAAUGGCCUCUUUAGGCUUACCUCAUUCCUCUCAACAGCCACUCGAGGUCGAGUUUUUUCAUUUUUGCAGCUUCUGUAGGCCCAGAACUUUCUCAAGUCUGCCUCUCCAGGUCCAGUUGCUGUCUCCAGGCAUCCACUUCUUCCCCUUUUCUUCCUACAUUUUGUGUCUAAAGGUUCAGCUUUUGCCUCACAACAUCCUCUUUGGAUUAGCUCCUGUGCAGCUCCUUGCCUUUGUAGACUCAAAUCUUUCUCAAGUUGAGUCCUCCGGUUUCACUGCCUUCCUGGUGGCUCCCUGAACAGGCCCAGCUUUUGCCUGACAAUUGCUUCUCCAGGCUGCCUCAACAGACCCAGCUCUUGCCUCACACUGGCCUCUCUAAGCCCAGCUGCUGCCUCUCACUGUCCUCACCUGGCUUAUCUCUUUCCUCACAUCUGCCUCCCAAGUCCCAGCUCCUGUCUCACAGUUGUCUCAGUUAUACCAGCUCCUUUCUCAUGAUGGCCUCUUCUGGCCCAUCUUCGGCCUCAUAGUGGCCAGUCGAACCCAUGAUGGCCUCUUCUGGCCCAUCUUUGGCCUCAUAGUGGCCACUGGAACCCAUCAUCUGCCUCAUCAUGGCCUCUUCUGGCUUUGCUUUUGCUUCGCAGUCACCUUUUCCAGAUCCCACUUUUUAGUCUUUAAUGGUCAACAGCAUCAAGGAGCCUAAAGCUUCCCUGGACUCUUAUUUGUUGGUAACUUCACUGCACAGCAGAGUGCCUUAGCAAAACACCUGUCUCUUCUUUUAACCUUGACAGUGGAUUUCUGACAAAUUUAUAAUAAAU